CCGGGCCUGUCAUGCUGCAGUCGGCUUCGCCGAGGCCUACUAGGCCUAAUCAGUUUCGCCCAGGCCGACUGGUUGCUAGCGUUUUUCUUUUUCUUUUUUCCAGUUGGUUUCCCCGAAGCCGAUUGGAACUAAUGAGCUAAUCAGCUUCGCCAAAGCUGCUUGGUUGCAUGAUCAAUGCAAACGUGGGAUGGACUCUGCCCAUGUUGUCUUGAUUCCGAGCAAUUAUUGUGAACUAAAAGACUUGACAACUUCGGUAAUACUGAAAUUAAGUGGGCUUGCUGGUUACAGAACCAAGGCACGACUAAAUUAGCAUACAUCGAUAAUACCGCAAUUGGACUGAAAUUAAGAUAACAAAUACAAUUGAAACACAACACUAACACUACUGUCUCCACUUAGGCCAUUUUCCUGUCUUAUCGCCUCAAUCUUCUGCAGCCUUUGCCAUGGCGUCCCUUUAUUUUUGCCUCUCCCUUUGCACCUCAUGGGCCUCUUUACGCCUUCAUUCCUCCUCUAGCAGGCAAUGCGCUUCCUCCCUGUUUUUCCUCCGUAACUCAUCAAAGAAACGACCUUGUUCCUCCCUCUGUUCUUUGAGCUUUCUCUCUUCCUCCUCUUUCUGCUGGGCUGCAGCGUUUGCCGCACGCUCGUCCGUGUGGAAACGCUGCCACGCACACCGUGACCUUGUGUUAAUCUCUUUCACCGCCCAAUCUGGCAUCUUCAUGUCAAUCCAUCGAUAUCACAUGCAUAGGGGCGGAGGAGACUACAAAAUAGCGUAAGGUUACAAAUAAAUCGAAAAUUAGACAUAACCAACAUGCUUAACCACACUUAUA
rnacentral:lncRNA from 1 species